GCUCAACAAUUUCUCUCUUUCUCUUUCUCAACUCAACAAUUUCUAAACCUAUAAACCUUGAUCCUCUAAUAUCAUCAUCAUUUUUCAAAUGUCUUCUUCUUCCGUAGAAUCAGUUCGUGAACUUCUCAACAAACCAUGGAAAAUUGUUCCCUUUCCCACCAUCAAAUCCAGCGAUCUCUUCUCUCUCUUCCUCAAAGUGUUUUUAUGCUUCUCUUCUUUUAGAUUUAUUCUUGUUUUGUAUCCUUCUUGGACUUUGAUUUUCCGUAAAAAUUGGGUUUUUUAAAUCUUUGUGUCCCUUAUACUUUGAUUUUCUGGUAUUUAACAUUUUAACCUUACAACUCACAUAGAAGCAAAUUGUUUUUUUAAUGCACUCCAGAUGUUUGAUAAAAUGCUUGUUUGAAAUAAUUUGUUCUUUAGGUACUGGUGUAGCAGGAGCUUAAGUGCAAAUGAACUAGGUACUGCUGCUGCUGAUUUUCGGAUGCCCGAGUUAUUUUCUAGACCAGUUAGCUGAAAUUGGCAAAUGAACCAGGCACCGCUGUCGAAGACCAGUUAAAUGAAAUUGGUACUAGUGUCGAAGACUAGCGGGAAAUUCUGUCAAAUACUAACUGAAAUUGAUGCUUAGUUUAAUGUAGUUGCGAUUUGUGACAAAGCUCACUAGUGCUUAGUUUGUAUUCACUAUGCUUACACAUUGUAGAUGAAAGAACUUGGCACUGCCUUGAUUAUGUCGAAGAUGUAGAUUGUAAAUGGGGGUUAGCUCUAUUUGUAGAGUCAUUCACAUUGUAAAUGGGUAAAUGAAGGUUAGCUCUAUUUGUAGAGUGAUUCACAUUGUAAAUGGGAGUUAGCUCUAUCUUUGUACAAAUUGUAAUUAUCAUCUUAUAUUAAAUGAAGAAGUUUGAUUGAAUUGUCUCAAUAUUUAC
rnacentral:lncRNA from 1 species